rnacentral:misc_RNA from 1 species
ACAAACUUGGUCAUUUAGAGGAAGUAAAAGUCGUAACAAGGUUUCCGUAGGUGAACCUGCGGAAGGAUCAUUGUCAACAAGACCGCGCUUGUUCGCGGGUCGGGGGGCCGCCUUCGGGAGGCCCUGUCUGAACCCUCUGUCUUUGUCGCACCUCGCGUUUCCUCGGCGGGCUCGCCCGCCAACGAGGACCCCAAACCAAACCCAUUGCAGUAUCUGCAGUACACGUCUCACAAACAAUUAAUCAAAACUUUCAACAACGGAUCUCUUGGUUCUGGCAUCGAUGAAGAACGCAGC